UACGUAGGUGACCAGCGUUGUCCGGAUUUACUGGGCGUAAAGAGCGCGCAGGCGGUCGUUCAAGUCGAGUGUGAAAGCCCCCGGCUCAACUGGGGAGGGUCAUUCGAUACUGAUCGACUUGAAGGCAGGAGAGGGAAGCGGAAUUCCCGGUGUAGUGGUGAAAUGCGUAGAUAUCGGGAGGAACACCAGUGGCGAAGGCGGGCUUCCUGGCCUGUUCUUGACGCUGAGGCGCGAAAGCUAGGGGAGCAAACGGG
rnacentral:rRNA from 1 species